CGUUGGCGGCGUGCAUAACACAUGCAAGUCUAGGGGGAAAGCCCGCAAGGGUGAGUACGCCGGCGCACGGGUGCGUAACACGUGGACAACCACCUCUUCGGCCUGGAAUAACCUCGGGAAACCGAGGAUAAUGCCAGAUGUUGUAUGAUUUCCGUCGGGAAGUCAUAUGAAAGAUGGGUUACUAUCACCAUGGACGGGUCCGCGCCCCAUUAGCUAGUUGGUAAGGUAACGGCUUACCAAGGCGACGAUGGGUAGCUGGUCUGAGAGGAUGACCAGCCACACUGGAACUGAAACACGGUCCAGACUCCUACGGGAGGCAGCAGUGAGGAAUAUUGCGCAAUGGACGAAAGUCUGACGCAGCGACGCCGCGUGAGGGAUGAAGGCCUUCGGGUUGUAAACCUCUGUCGAGAGGGAAGAAUAAAGCAUGGUUAACUGCCAUGUUGAUGACGGUACCUCUAAAGGAAGCACCGGCUAACUCCGUGCCAGCAGCCGCGGUAAUACGGAGGGUGCAAACGUUGCUCGGAAUUACUGGGCGUAAAGGGAGCGCAGGCGGAUCUGCAAGUCAGGCGUGAAAGCCCAAGGCUCAACCUUGGACGUGCGCUUGAAACUGCGGAUCUAGAGUUCAACAGAGAGAAGCGGAAUUCCUGGUGUAGCGGUGAAAUGCGUUGAUAUCAGGAGGAACACCUAUUGCGAAGGCAGCUUCUUGGGUUGCGACUGACGCUCAUGCUCGAAAGCGUCGGGGAUCAAACAGGAUUAGAUACCCUGGUAGUCCACGCCCUAAACGAUGGAUACUCGAUGUCGAGGGAGUUAACCCCCCCGGCGUCCAAGCUAACGCGUUAAGUAUCCCGCCUGGGGACUACGGCCGCAAGGCUAAAACUCAAAGGAAUUGACGGGGACCCGCACAAGCGGUGGAGCAUGUGGUUUAAUUCGACGAUACGCGAAGAACCUUACCUGGGUUUGACAUGUUAGGGAAUCCGGCCCAGAAGCUGGAGUGCCUUCGGGAGCCCUAUCACAGGUGCUGCACGGCUGUCGUCAGCUCGUGUCGUGAGAUGUUGGGUUAAGUCCCGCAACGAGCGCGACCCCUGCCUCUAUUUGCCACCGGUUCGGCCGGGAACUCUAGAGGGAUUGCCCCGGUAAACGGGGAUGAAAGAGGGGACGACGUCAAGUCCUCAUGGCCCUUACCCCAGGGCUACACACGUGCUACAAUGAUCGGUACAGAGGGUUGCCAACCCGCGAGGGGGAGCCAAUCCCAGAAAACCGACCUCAGUUCGGAUUGUAGUCUGCAACUCGACUACAUGAAGCCGGAAUCACUAGUAAUCGCGGAUCAGCUACGCCGCGGUGAAUACGUUCCCGGGUCUUGUACACACCGCCCGUCACACCACGAGAAUCGGUUGAACUGGAAGUAGGUGAUCCAACCGUAAGGAGGAAACCUACCAAGGUUUGCCCGGUGAUUGGGGUGAAGUCGUAACAAGGUA
rnacentral:rRNA from 1 species